AUGUAUCUUGCAACUACUGCAUGAACGUUGCCUGACUCUUGUGCGGGGUUUUCUCCUUCAUUCAUUUCCUGGGUUAAUGGCUAUGAUAAUUGGAGCCAGUUGUCUGACAACUUGGGGUAAACUUCAGAGAUACUGCUAUAAGUCUUCCUGCUUGUUACUCUGUGGAGAUAAUAAAAGGGACCCCAUGGACCUAUGAUUAUUUGAAUAGCUGGACAAUGGAAUGGACUCCUCAACAACUGUUAGGUCUAGAAGAUGUUUUAUGGCACAUAGAGGUCCUUGAUAAAUACACAGGAACUACAGGGAUGAGGAGAAUAAAUUAAAUGAACCAUGAGGAAACAGACAAAUCCAGAUGAGACCAGUUCUAGACUCUAAAAAGUUCAUGUCAUGCAGACUGUGUGCCGGCGGGGAUGUGGAGAAACCAGACCUCUCAUAUAUGGAAGAGAAGUUGCCUACAGUCAACCACGUUGUGGAAGCAGAUGAUACUCCUGAGGUAUCACCAGAAAGUCAAUAGUAGCUAAAUGCUGCAUCACAAGGCCAAUGUCAUUCACUUUACUUCAUCUCAUCACAUGGGCAACUUAUCACCUCACAUCAUCAUAAGAAAAAGGAAGCUGGAAUUUUACAUGCUUACGCACGGAUACCUAUCAAUCUUUGUCUUUUUGUAUUCUUGUGCUGUUGCUGUACUUCGAAAGGCCUUCUCAACUUUAAAAUCAACAUUUCCUGUGAGUGUCCAGCAGUAAGUAUAUAUGCUGAAUAAAUGCUUAUUGGUUGAAGAAACUAAAUAUCUUUUGUGUACAUUUAAAAGAACACUUGCUCAUCUGUCAAAAAGGCCCAGAGGCGCUCUGCAUCCAAGAAAAGCUCAGUAACCUUAGGGUGUAAGAGCUCACUUAAAAGAAAGAGCUUAUCCUGGUGCGUAACUGUGAAUAUGCACCAAGCAAAUUAUGAAACAUUCAAGGAAUAAAUACAUGGCCGCUGCCAGGCAGGUCUCGCGUCUGAAUGGAAUUUCACAAUCAAUGCUGACGGCCGACACGACAGUUCAAGGAUGGUUCUAGAGCAAUCUAGCCGACAGGCACAAAUGAGCAACAACCUGAGAAACUGCUGCCAAUGUGCCAGUAUCUUUCUACGAGGGAGGCAGUAGGAGAGCCGAAGAUAGAAGAGGAGGUGGCAUUGUGACUGUGGAUGCAGAGAUGGAAGCCAUGAGCCAUGCAAUGUGGGCAGCUACCGGAAGCAGGAACAGGCACGCAACGGAUCAACCCCUAUAACCACCAGAGAGGACACGGCCCUGGCCACGCCCUGAUUUGGGCCCAGGGACACUGAUCUCACACUUCCAGCCUCCAGAACUGUAAGAGAAUCAAUGUGUUUUUAAGUCACCAAAAGUAUGUGAUAAUUUUUUUUACAGCAGUCCCAGGAAAUUAAUACAGUCAGUGUGGGGUACAACUGUGAUGAUAGUUAAUGGAUACAAACCCAAACCCAAACUGCUAAUAAUAUUAGUACUGAUGACACCAAUGUUAAUACUAAUAGUGAACACAUGGUGUUUACCACGUGCUGGGUGCCGUUCAAAGUAUGUUGAGUAUAUUAACUCACAGCCACACUACGAGGUAGGUACUAUUUUUCCUUUCGUAGACGAGGAAACUGGAGCACAGAGGCCUGAGAGUCUCCCCUCCCCCUGCCCCCAUCGCCUUAAGUGUUGAAGCCGCGGAUGGAAGCGAGUGCUGUAUGGCUGACGGAUGCCAACAGCUACCUGCUGGUCAGGCAGAGGUGCAGUCUAGGAAUUACCCAGGAGUGAGUGAUGUUCUUCAAUUCUGGCAGCAGAGUUAAAAUGUAAAGUUUGUCUUUCCCAGUUGGGAAUAGCUCUUGUGCCUACUGAUUAAUUAUUCCAUUUGCUUGUUAUUCUGAAGGUACCUCAUUUAAAUGCACAUGAAUAGAUCAUAAGUAUGAAUAAAUAUCUUUGCUUUCCUAUAGAAUGUAAUAUGAAAUUUUAUAAAUCUCGAAGCACCUAGUAUUAAGUAAUGAUAAUAUAAUUACAUUACUGACAAAUGCCACCCAGUACUGCUGUGUUGGGGGCCCUAGGUGUAAUACAAACAAUGGUAAGGACACUGCCUCUGUCAACAACUUACAAUCUAGUUAAGGUGGUAAAGCAAAUGUGCAAAAUUAAUACAUGAUCUGCAGCCUAUAGACAUUAUAGGUGUCAGUGGGAAUUUUGGAGCUGAAAAAUUCUUUUUCUUAAAAAGUUUAUAUAUCUUUGA